UGAACUCUCUCCCCAAGAAGCACAAGCUGCCUCAGAGGAAGAUGCCUGAAAAUGGGAGGAGCCACAGAAAAAGAGGGAGGGAUCACAAAAACGAAGCAUGGAUUUCCUCACAUGAAGGACAUCAAUGUUGGAGAUGGCGUAGAAGUAUUUGAGCAGGUUGUCUCUCUGGACGUAGGUGCCUCCGAGGG